rnacentral:rRNA from 1 species
AUGGUCAUCAUCGUGGUGUUCGUCUCCCUAGGCGGGCUCCUCCUGCUUGCAUGCCUAGCUGCCUUCUGCUUGCACAAGAAAAAGAAGAGGAAGACAGAAAGGAAGGCAGAGGUACUGAACUUCAGCGACCAUGUCCAUGUCCACAAAUCGGCCAUGUCAGGCCCUGGGGGAUCCAAGGCCGUCAGGCUGACAGUUGACGAGGACGUCAAGUUCCAAGAGGUGGUUAAGGAAUCAGAGGCCGUCGGCAAAGAGUCGGGCACAGCCACAGCAGGAAACCACAACGCUUGGAUGUGGAACAAGAAACAGAAGAGCAAAGCAAAGCAGGAUUCAGAGGUCAUCAACGUCACCGGACACAUCCAUGCUGAUGAGAAGAUCGAGUCAGGGCCCCACGGCGAGAAGAUUGAGGUCCUUUCAGAAGAUGAAGAUAUCAGGUUUGAAGAGGCAGACAACAAAGAAUCGUCUGCAAAAUCAAAGGCACGCAUUACCAAGUUCUAA